UACGUAGGGAGCGGGCGUUGUCCGGAUUUAUUGGGCGUAAAGCGCGCGUAGGCGGUUUUGUAAGUCGGGGGUGAAAGCCUGUGGCUCAACCACAGAAUUGCCUUCGAUACUGUAGAGCUUGAGACCGGAAGAGGUAAGUGGAACUGCGAGUGUAGAGGUGAAAUUCGUAGAUAUUCGCAAGAACACCAGUGGCGAAGGCGGCUUACUGGUCCGGUUCUGACGCUGAGGCGCGAAAGCGUGGGGAGCAAACAGG
rnacentral:rRNA from 1 species